GGGCAGGUAGCUCAGUGGUAGAGCGGAAGAUUGCAGUUCGAAGCACAACUGCAGACAUCUUUAGGUCGCGUGUUCGAUCCACGCCCGGCCCU
rnacentral:tRNA from 1 species